GGCAAAGACUGUUUUCCGAACAUGCAGAGUUGACAUAGUUCCCAUUAACCACCCUUGAAAUGUGGUCAGUGGAGUGGGGACUCAGAAACAGGACAGUCAAGGACUAGACAGAGAUGGUGUUGAGCUCAUCGCAUCCACCUCCUUUGGAAAAAGCAGAGACACCACAGAUAAUAAAUGCACACGGCAAGAACAAAAUCCCGACAGCAUAAAGAAACAUAUGGUAAAAAUGAAGGGGAUUCAGUUUCCGUCCUUAGUUUUCCAGCACUUCUCAACAAAGCAGGCAAGAAAUCUGUAAAAAUUGACAUGGAGAUUGAAGCAAGCUUUUGAAAAUGAAAAUAGCCAUGAUAUUAAGCUGAAUAAUAUUGGGCUGCUGGAGAAGAAUAAGAAGCAAGGGCUUCCUUUGUCACAGGACAAGAAUGAAAAUACAAAGGGAA